AGUGAACGCUGGCGGUAGGCCUAACACAUGCAAGUCGAACGGCAGCACAGUAAGAGCUUGCUCUUACGGGUGGCGAGUGGCGGACGGGUGAGGAAUACAUCGGAAUCUACUUUUUCGUGGGGGAUAACGUAGGGAAACUUACGCUAAUACCGCAUACGACCUACGGGUGAAAGCAGGGGAUCUUCGGACCUUGCGCGAUUGAAUGAGCCGAUGUCGGAUUAGCUAGUUGGCGGGGUAAAGGCCCACCAAGGCGACGAUCCGUAGCUGGUCUGAGAGGAUGAUCAGCAACACUGGAACUGAGACACGGUCCAGACCCCUACGGGAGGCAGAAGUGGGGAAUAUUGGACAAUGGGCGCAAGCCUGAUCCAGCAAUACCGCGUGGGUGAAGAAGGCCUUCGGGUUGUAAAGCCCUUUUGUUGGGAAAGAAAAGCAGCAGAUUAAUACCCCGCUGUUCUGACGGUACCCAAAGAAUAAGCACCGGCUAACUUCGUG
rnacentral:rRNA from 1 species